CUUUUAUCUAUCCUUGGCUAAUCAUGCAAAAGCCAGGAAUGAAGGAAUGCUGAACUGGUAAUAUAAUUGGUUGUAUAAAUCUGAGUGGGUAGGCAGCUGGAUUUUCUUCAGUCAGUUCUUCCUAGCCACUGACUUUGAUGCUGUAAUCCUUUUGAGCCAAACAUGGACUCAGGUUCCAAACACACAUUAAUGCCAUGAUAAGAAACUUGUUGCAGAAAGGUUGUGCUACCUUGAGGUGUUACUGCUCCCUCAGCCAAACUGGCAGAACUGAUCAUGUGAAGUUUCCUUGUUGGUUUCAGCACAAAUUAAAACGUUGUCAAGCGGGCAGCACUGCUUGUGUCUGUGCUUUUAUCAUCUGGAGAGGGUCUGGGAGCUAGACUGAGGAGGCUGUCCAGUUUGUUUUGGAGGUUAUUUGUUGACUGUAACUUCAGUAGCUGAAAGCAGGUGCUGCUUGGAAGACGCCGUAGGACUUGGAAUUGUCUAUGUCUGAGGAAGGAAGCUUUUUAGAAACCAUUGGCUCUUGCUGCCUCCUUCACAUGAAUAUAAUGAUGUUGCUCCAGUGUUCCACCAUGAAAAAUAUCAAUCAAGUCUCCUAGAUGUGCUUUGUGGGAGAAAAUAUGAGCAGUAAGGUGUGUGCCACCACUGGUAGCAUACACGAUUGUGUGCCACAAUGACAGAAUCUCUUGCUAUGGAGUAGCUGAAUGAACCAUUAAUUCAACCUUCCUUCUGAAAAGAGAAAGCUUAGUAGUCUUACUGAGUAUUGUACUGAUACUUAUCUAUGUAAAAUACUUUUUUUUCCUUAACGAAUUCCCAUUAAUUGUUUAUAGCUAACUCAAAUUUAUUCAAAAAGUUUUUGUGAUACAAUUUAUAAGAAUUCUUUGGGAUCUCUGGGUGCUUCCCAACUGUUGAAUUGUUGAUGUGUUUUGUUAAACUUCUUACUCUGAUCAUCACUUCAUGUAUUAACAUAUUCAUGAUGAGUGAAUGCAAAAGGGAACACAAAGACAAGAAACACAUUCAAAUAUUAAUUUGAGUGAAUACUUUUUGAAGAUUUGAUCUGGUGCUAUUCAAAAUGCGGUGCUUCUGAAUCAGGAGCAAUAAAGUCACAAGAGAGAGUGCUGGAAGUAAUCCAUGGACAUCCUGUUCUUAUUAGAAGUGGGCUAAAGCAUUCUGACAGAUUUCAAACCUGCUGAAAUAUUCUUCUUCUUUUUUUUUUUUUACUUCUUUUACACCAGCAUUACUGGGAGCACAUCUUACUUAUCUGUUUAAGGGUGGCUAUGAAAAAGGGAGAAGACAGAGAUAUAUUUGGUGAAAAAUAGGGUGAGAAAAGAAGCAGAGAGUUGACUGUGUGAAGAAAGAAAGAGACACCCUGGGAAAGCAGCAGAGAAAAGGGAAAGAAAAGAAAUCCUAAUUUUUUAAAAUAUGACUCCUUAGAACUGAGACUGUGCCAAACCCUGGACUUGGAGGCUAUUCUGUCCUUAAUACAUUGCACAUGAUUGUCUGUAGCUAGAAAAACAUUUUUUGUGGGUUUUGAAAAAUCAAAUUACCCUUAUAUGAAAUAAAACAAACUAUGAGUUUAUAUGGCAGAGUAAAAAGAAACCAAAUUCAUUUUGCAAGCCUUUAGAGAGUUUAAAAAUCCCUUAGGCUCACAAAAACUCAAACUCCGUAGCGUUCAAAUAUUCAAAUGUUGUAGGAGGUACAAUUGACUUAAUUCCAUUUACUUUAAUUAAGUUUUCAUCAGACUCUUUCUAUUUAGUUAACUGAUUCUCCUCUCAAGGCAUGUUUAUAUUAAGGGCAAGAUCCAAAAUACCAUAUGGAUACUUCCUGUGCAAUCUAGAUAGCCAUUAAGUAAGGAGAUUGGUUAUAAAACCUGUGUAACUUUAAAAGCUACAAGACUGUAGGCAGUUUGGUAUCCCUUAGGAAUGCCUUUCUGCUCCAUAUCUGAAGCAUGGGCCUCAAGCUUAGCAUCUUGGCAGACCAGCAGGGUCUGUUCUCAGAUGCCAUGCUGCCUACCUAAGCUUAUGACACUCAAACCUGCAAUGCCAGCUUGUCUUCUACAAAAGUGAUACCUAUUGAGUGGGUGACAAAACUGGGAUGUACAUGGAGUUAGAUGCUGAAACAAGGUGUGUAAAGCCUCUGAUAGGCAAUAGAGACACCAUGCAAUUGAGUGGAGGUAAGAACGGCUGUCCAGGGUCACGACAAGAAUUCACCCAGCCCUGCUACUUGACUGGCAGGGAGGCAUGAUGGUCAUGAAGGUGAUUUCCUAGGUAGGGCCUCAUUCCUUGUACUUCUGGUGACCUGACCACUGAAAAUUCUGUGAUUUAGGGAACUACACUGUAAAAUUUGUAAUGUGAGAUACUGUAUAUGUAUGUUUUCUUAAAUUAAAACACAAUCCCACCUCCAAACUCCCAUUAAUGUUAAGUGGAUGCCUAGAGUAGAACACAGUAAACAGUGAUCUGAUUGCAGCUUAAAUCUAUACCAACUUGGAACAUCUUUGAUGUUCCUUGUAAGGAAUUGCACCCAUUUCAUGAAAACUGUAUUUUUCAGUUCUGUUUGAAUUCUCAUUUGGGGCUUCAUUUGAUAUCCCCCACUCUUGAACUGGAAGAUUCAGCAAAACGUUGGUGCCAGACUACCUUCACCAUGACACGACUUCACACACUUCCGCCACAUCCCUCCUCAGUCAUCUGUUUCCCAGACUGCAGAGUCCCGAAUUGUUUGAUAGUUUCCUUGUAUGGAAGUUGUUGCAGACCUCUGACCAUAUGUCCUUGCUCUUUCCCAGUUUUUCUGUGUUACGUGCCUUCACUAUUGCUCUAUAGAAUAAUGUGUAGUUCAUUUUUCUUAGGAUACAUUUAUAUAUACAUUUGUAUAUAUGUGAGGCUAUGCAAGUACUUGCGAUGUUUUUCACCUGCUCUUCUACCAUGGAUAUCUUCUUCCACAGAUCUGUUUAUUUAUGAUUGUACCUGGACCAGGUUUGGGAAUUUGGGUGUCACAGAGUCACAGAAUUGUAGGGUUUGGGAGGAACCUCUGGAGAUCAUGUCCUACCUUCCAGGCCAGUAUGUGACCUCUUGACCAGAGCUGCACAGUCUCUUUCUCAGACUCAUUAAAGAAUGAGAUCAGCAGUUAUGCCGUGUACAAUGCAGCUGCUCCAAGGCACCCUUACUGCAGCCUGGCUCCAGCCCUACUGCUUUAGGUCAUCUCUGAGAUGACAGAGCUUGUGGUCUGUUUGGAACUGGGUGCUGGUUGUCCUUAUCUUCUAUAAUUGCUUAGCUGUUGUAACACUUUUUCUCUUCCUCCUCUAAGUGAAAUAGCAUCUACUGUGAUACUUCCUCAUGUGCUUGCUCCUAUGGAUGUACUGUGUGUGUCCAUGUGCCAGGCAGUGUUAGUAAGCAUGCAGAGUGAGACCUUGAGCCCCCUACAGACAGGUACCAAAUUGCGUUCCAAAAACACUGCUGACAAAAAUGGAGAUGAGAGGAUAUUUCAAGAUUUGCAGUUUGUGUUUAAGUGUUUUAUGUCUGCUUACAUCCAACUUAGGUGCCCAUGAUCUCAUGAGAAGCUAUUUCUUGGCCUCCUUACACAUAAGUAUUUCUAUCUUACAGAAGUAGUUCCCCAUCUGAGGUGGGUGCAUGGACACAGGUGGACUAAAUAUGCACUGAUACUAUCUUAUUUAGGACUGAGCAAGUCCGCAGUUUAACUGAAUCUGUAGUAGAUGUCACUGAAUUGCACAGAAGGCUGCUGAUAAGCUAUUGCAUCAUCAUAGGUGCCUACCACAUACAGCAGUUUCGACUUGGAUAUGAGGUCAAUAAUGUCCUCAGUGGCUGACAUAGGAGGCAGAGGUUACAGUAAGGAUCUGUCUCUACAGUUUCACAAAGAUAGUGUUACUGUUAUCCUUGCUUAACACAUCAGCUUGGGAUACAGAGUGAUUUUGAUGUAUGUAAGCCAUGAUCGCUCAAAGUCUUUGAAAGAGCCAAGAGGUGACAUCUGUUCUCCUGCAUCCUAGUAUGGUAAUUGGCCACUGAAGCCUUUUUUGUUCAUUAUUCAGAUAUUUUGGAAAAAUUAUUAUCACUGUUCUUAUGCUUUCUACUCUUCUCCUGAGAACAAAACAAAUCCUUCCGAGGGAAAAAAAGAGUUAGGUAAUGAUGGUCUGUGGAGUUGGUGAGGAUAAUCUUUCUUUCAGUGACUUGUCUUUUCCUGUAAGCACCUCCAAAUGUUAUUGCUCUCCAUGGAGCAGGUUUAUAAAAUAAUGGGUAAGUCAUACUAAUUAUCCUGUGAGCUGUAAGGGCUGCCUGCUUUUCCUUUAGAGAAAGUAAGUCAGCUUUCACAUCUUUGCUAAAAUUCAUAGCAAGAUAGUGAAGGAGCUCAUUUCUCACUGCAGUAAAGGAAGAAGGAAAUGGCAUAGAAGUUUGUCUCUGAAUUUGCCUAUUUCAGUCUGCAAAUAAUGAUUUGUAAAUAGAAUUUUUGGGUGAUAUUUUCUCUACCAUGUGCUAACAACACGCUGCUCUGUUCAGCUGCUUGAAACAAAUAGAACUGAUGCUGAAAAGUGAAAUAAAAGCAUCACUAAAUUAGCUGCAUAACAUCCAGAUCAAUGUACCUUUCUAAGAGCAAAAUAGCGGGUACUACUCUUCUUUGGGUCAUAGCAACUGGUUGAUCAGUGUCAACAGAUAUGUUAUAGCUCCAGAAUGAGCUAUGAAAAUGCCAAGGUUAGAUUUUCUUAUUUGAUACUUCAUCACAAAAUUUCAACCGGACUGGAUUCCCCACAGGGGAUCUUAAACUAGAAAUCCAGAUAUAUCUGGGAAUAACUUUAGUGAGCAAAAAGUGAUAAUAAUAAAAAUAAUGUGUACUUCGUAUAGAGGAGUAUAAGUGUUUUUCUAAAUACCAAUCAUUUCCAGUAAUAUCCAUUUCAUCCACUUCAUUUAUUAUGGUCUGUAUGAACCUCUUUGUAUCUGUGAAUACAGAAUAAAGAAUUCUGCUCUCAAAGCCUUGAAAGCUCUAUUACUAGUGAAUUCAUGAGGAAAAUGCUGCUGACAAAAUAUAUACAUAUAUAUUUUGACCCAUUGCCUCUUUAUCCCCAUUUAAGUGACUAGUGUUAACAUCACUGUCCAAGUAUAUUCACGCACAGGAGCUUUUACUUUGCUUUCCAUCACUGAGUAGCUGUGCCUACUGAACGUAGUUGCUAUCAUGUUAAAAGCAUGUGAGAUGACCUGCCCAAGUAUUCUCUUGCUGAUUCCUCUUUUCUGGAAUGUAUUCACAUAAAUGUUCCUUCUAACUUCCUUUGUUUAGUAAUGCGUGAGUGCUUACAUCCUGGUAUUGAAAUUAUUUUUUGCUUAUAGUUGAACUGAUGUCAUGCAUCAUACACACUAAUAUAAUGUAUAUUAUAUAUAGGUACUCAUGCUUUUUUUUUAGCCACUCUUUUAUGAAUAGUGAAGAAUGAAUGAGGACAUAUCAAGUUAUGUAAUUAUUGAUGUCUGCCUUGAGCACUGUAACCUGUUAAUGUCAAAAUAGAAACCUGCAUGGUUAUUACUGCAAAAUAAGGUCACAAAUAAGGAGUAGAAAUACUCAAAAUGCAUUGGAAUAUGAGGACAAGUAUAUAAUCAAAAGUUGUUGUCAGCUAUAUUAAAGAAAAUUAUAGUUGAUUUAACUUAAUGGUAUGUUCAUAUCUGAAGUAAGAAAUGCAUUAGUUUUGAAGAAGUUUAACCAAAGCUAUUUUACAGUACAGAAAAAUUUUAAAACAUACAUUGUACAGUUCAUGGAUCAGAUUUUUGUUUGUAUUCUGUUUAGAGCUACCAUUCGAAUGAUUUGUGAAUAACAUUCUGCAGGGUAUAUUUUUUAUUCUUCUGCCUCCAAAACAAGAAUUGUUUUUAUUUAUACAAAAGAAAAGCUUAAUCAAAAUAGAAUAUAAUGUAGUUCUGAACCAGGUAAUAUUUUUUUGGAAACAAUUAUCUGUUUAUUAAACAAUAAUGAUUUUCCUGUAGUUUUG
rnacentral:lncRNA from 1 species